UUUUUUUUUUUUUUUUAACUUCUGUCUAUGAUGUUAACAUUAGGACAGAGACCUCCCUUCUGUUGAGUGAUUUUCUAGAGAACUGUGAUCAAGAUGAUUGAAAGAAUUAGUCUAACUUUUUAUCUCUUACUGCUCCCUCCUAUACAAUGCAGGGGAGCAUUUAACUAUUUAUUUCUUUAUUUGUGUGUAUAGUCUUGAGAAUUGGAUCAAAAGAUUUGACUUUAGUACAGAUGGUAACAAAUGUAAAUAAAUUUAAGUUUUCAUUUUUGAUUGUUUUUUUUUUUUUUUUUCAAUUUUUA